CGGCGAGUGAAGCGGGAUGAGCUCAAAUUUGUAAUCUGGCGGCCUUUGGCUGUCCGAGUUGUAGUCUGGAGAAGCGUUUUCCGCGUCGGACCGUGUACAAGUCCCUUGGAACAGGGCGUCGUAGAGGGUGAGAAUCCCGUCUUUGACACGGACUGCCGAUGCUUUGUGAUGCGCUCUCGAAGAGUCGAGUUGUUUGGGAAUGCAGCUCAAAACGGGUGGUAAAUUCCAUCUAAAGCUAAAUACGGGCGAAAGACCGAUAGCGAACAAGUACCGUGAGGGAAAGAUGAAAAGCACUUUGGAAAGAGAGUUAAACAGUACGUGAAAUUGUUGAAAGGGAAACGCUUGAAGUCAGUCGCGUCUCCUGGGACUCAGCCUUGCUUCUGCUCGGUGUACUUCCUGGGGUUGACGGGCCAGCAUCGAUUUUGACCGUCGGAGAAAGGCCUUGGGAACGUGGCACCCUUUGGGUGUGUUAUAGCCCUCGGUCGUAUGCGACGGUUGGGAUCGAGGACCGCAGCAUGCCUUUUUGGCCGGGGUUCGCCCACGUACGUGCUUAGGAUGCUGGCGUAAUGGCUUUAAGCGACCCGUCUUGAAACACGGACCAAGGAGUCUAACAUGCCUGCGAGUGUUUGGGUGGUAAACCCGGACGCGCAAUGAAAGUGAAACGUUGGGACCUCUGUCGUGGAGGGCACCGACGCCCGGACCAGACCUUUUGUGACGGUUCCGAGGUAGAGCAUGCAUGCUGGGACCCGAAAGAUGGUGAACUAUGCUUGAGUAGGGUGAAGCCAGAGGAAACUCUGGUGGAGGCUCGUAGCGAUUCUGACGUGCAAAU
rnacentral:rRNA from 1 species